GCGGGGCUGUGGAAGACGGACAGCAUCUCCAGGGACUUUUGCUUGGUGCGGUUGGCGCGUUCGAUGCGCGCGGUGUCGUA
rnacentral:tRNA from 1 species